CCAAAGCGCCUGGCACUCCAACACCACAGGACACUCAGGCCAGGUGGGCUCUGUUGCCGGAGAGGGCAUCAGGGACAUCUGCUGCUGGUCCACUGGCCACCCCAGGACCACUCGGGGCUCAUGGCUUCUUCCUAGGGGAGAGAGGCCUGGAGCCCACACGGGGUGCAUGGGGCAUCUGUCUGCAUCUCUCUGGAUCCGGGCACUCCUGGGCCUCCAGGUUCUGAGGCAGGGAGGGAGGUGAACUGUCCACAGGCACCUGCGAUUGAGGACCAGGCGCGGCCAGGAGCCCCUCCCUGUUGGCCCAGGUGGGCCUGCACCCACCCCCGGCAGAGCCUGGCAUGGGCGUCUGCUCUCUCCGCUGUGAGAACCGGGUCCUGGGCCCGCCUUGGACCUGCCCCCCCGCCCGCAGUGCAGUCGUUGUGGGAACUGCCCCGGGGGUGUCCGUCCACACGUGUGAUCCCAGGGAGGGAGGGGCCGACCCCCGCGCGGAGCCUGGCUCUGGGGCUGCUUUGGUGCUUUUGAGGCUGGUAGUAAUCGGCUGUUGUUAAACGUGUUCAGAGCCAGUUAGGCACCUGGAGAAGAGGAGCAGCGCCGAGGACCUCGGCACAGUCGCCCCACGUCCCACCCCUCGUGAGCGGGGACCUAGCCGCUGAGUCACAGCUUGGGAGAAGACACAGCGGGAGGACGACAGACCCAGUGGUGUAAGCCGGCACCAGCUGACUCUGCUGAUGGAUCGUCUGGGGCAGGAAUUGGGGCAGAGACGGCUCUGCCCUUGGGCGCUGGGCACCCACACGCCGCCCCGCCCCCUGUGGCUGGGCUUCCUCACAGCCUGGUGGCCUCAGGGCCUUAGGAGGGAGCAGUCCAGACCCCGAGGUCACAGAGACCCUUCUGUCGAGUCCCGUAGCUGAAACUGUCACAAGCCCACCCAGAGAAGGGGAGCCGUCUGCUGGCGCCAGGCUCGAGCUGUGACCGAGGCUUCCAGAACCCCUGGGCCCUGCCUGUGGGCGGUGUGUAUGGCUGGUGAUGGUGGCCACUCAUUGUCCCCUGGCAUCGGCUCUUCCUGUGGAAGCUGUCCCUCCUCUUCAGCCGCACAGCCCACCGUGGACGAGGUUCCCGUCGAGGGAACACAGCCCCCUUCAACCCCGGCCCACACUCCUCUCUUUGCCGUCUCCGGACUUUUGCCCUUUCCACGUGUGACCCUUACACCUGGAGCCGUACGCCGUGCGGCCUGUCGUGACAUUUCCUUCACUUAGUGACGUGCGUUUAAGGUUCCUCCGGGCCUCUUCAUGGUCUGAUGGCUCACUUCUUUUCAGCGAUGAAUAAUGUCCCGUUGCCUGGAGAGACACUGUGUGUCCGUCCACCUGCGGAAGGGCAUCUCGUUUCGGCGGUUAUAAAUAAAGCUGCUGCUUCCUCU
rnacentral:lncRNA from 1 species